rnacentral:rRNA from 1 species
AGUGGGGAAUCUUAGACAAUGGGGGCAACCCUGAUCUAGCCAUGCCGCGUGAUCGAUGAAGGCCUUAGGGUUGUAAAGAUCUUUCAGUGGGGAAGAUAAUGACGGUACCCACAGAAGAAGCCCCGGCUAACUCCGUGCCAGCAGCCGCGGUAAUACGGAGGGGGCUAGCGUUGUUCGGAAUUACUGGGCGUAAAGCGCACGUAGGCGGAUCGGAAAGUUGGGGGUGAAAUCCCGGGGCUCAACCCCGGAACUGCCUUCAAAACUCCCGGUCUUGAGUUCGAGAGAGGUGAGUGGAAUUCCGAGUGUAGAGGUGAAAUUCGUAGAUAUUCGGAGGAACACCAGUGGCGAAGGCGGCUCACUGGCUCGAUACUGACGCUGAGGUGCGAAAGUGUGGGGAACAAACAGGAUUAGAUACCCUGGUAGUCCACACCGUAAACGAUGAAUGCCAGUCGUCGGGCAGCAUGCUGUUCGGUGACACACCUAACGGAUUAAGCAUUCCGCCUGGGGAGUACGGCCGCAAGGUUA